UACGUAGGGGGCGAGCGUUGUCCGGAGUUACUGGGCGUAAAGCGCACGCAGGCGGUUUCGUACGUCUGGAGUGACAGUUCCCGGCUCAACUGGGAAAGGUCUUUGGAAACGGCGAGACUUGAGGGCUUCAGAGGGACACGGAAUUCCGGGUGGAGUGGUGAAAUGCGUAGAGAUCCGGAGGAACACCAAUGGCGAAGGCAGUGUCCUGGGAAGCAUCUGACGCUCAGGUGCGAAAGCUAGGGGAG
rnacentral:rRNA from 1 species